CGGUGUUCCUCCUCCUUUGCUGCAUCUUUGUUGUUUGCAGGGCAUGGCAACAUUGUAUCAGCAACACUUGGGGGGAUACAAAUUCCAGCAAUGUAAUAUUGACUAAAUACAAGGGUUAACGAGAUGAAACCGAGAAUCAUCAACUCGGCCUUAACCUUCUCCAAGGCCUCAAAGAGAGCUUUUUUAUGCCUGUCAGUCAACCACGUUCCAAGUUUGUGCAAUAUCUUCUCUAAGGCAAUAGAAAUGAGGAUAAUAACUGCACAAACACCAGCCACAGCCCAAGUUGGUGUUUGAUCAAGUUGCCUUGAUGUACCAUCACCCCCACCUGCCAUUACUAACCCUCAACCCAACAAAAUUUCAAACUUUAUCUUGAAACACAGUAUUUCAGCUUCAGAUGUAUCAAGAAUUUCAAGAAAACUAAAUGGGUUCUUGUUAAAACCCUCAAAAGACUCUCAAGAAUCAAGAAAAUGCCAAAAAGACAUACAUUUUCAACUAGAACAGAG
rnacentral:misc_RNA from 1 species